rnacentral:rRNA from 1 species
AAUAUUGGACAAUGGGGGCAACCCUGAUCCAGCCAUGCGGCGCGUGUGAAGAAGGUCUUCGGAUUGUAAAGCACUCUAAGUUGGGUGGAAGGGCUUUAGGCUAAUACCCUGAAGUUUUGCCGUUCCCACUAGAAUAAGCCCCGGUGAAUCCUGUUCCAGCAGCCGCGGUAAUACAGAGGGUGCAAGCGUUAAUCGGAAUUAUUGGGCGUAAAGGGCGCGUAGGUGGUUCAGGAAGGUGGGGGUGGAAUCCCCGGGCAUAACCUGGGAACUGCUUUCAUAAGUGCUGAGCUAGAGUACGGUAGAGGGUAGUAGAAUUUCCUGUGUAGCGGUGAAAUGCGUAGAUAUAGGAAGGAACACCAGUGGCGAAGGCGACUACCUGGACUGAUACUGACACUGAGGUGCGAAAGCGUGGGGAGCAAA